GACUAGGUAAGCUAAAAUAAGCUAGUGGGCUCAUAACCCAAAAAUGAUAAUCUCCCUAGUUA
rnacentral:tRNA from 1 species